AACGAACGCUGGCGGCAUGCCUAACACAUGCAAGUCGAACGAGACCUUCGGGUCUAGUGGCGCACGGGUGCGUAACGCGUGGGAACCUGCCCUUAGGUUCGGAAUAACUCCCCGAAAGGGGUGCUAAUACCGGAUAAUGUCUUCGGACCAAAGAGUUAUCGCCUUUGGAUGGGCCCGCGUUGGAUUAGCUAGUUGGUAGGGUAAAAGCCUACCAAGGCGACGAUCCAUAGCUGGUCUGAGAGGAUGAUCAGCCACACUGGGACUGAGACACGGCCCAGACUCCUACGGGAGGCAGCAGUGGGGAAUAUUGGACAAUGGGCGACAGCCUGAUCCAGCAAUGCCGCGUGAGUGAUGAAGGCCUUAGGGUUGUAAAGCUCUUUUACCCGGGAUGAUCAUGACAGUACCGGGAGAAUAAGCUCCGGCUAACUACGUG
rnacentral:rRNA from 1 species